rnacentral:rRNA from 1 species
AGAGUUUGAUCCUGGCUCAGGAUGAACGCUAGCUACAGGCUUAACACAUGCAAGUCGAGGGGCAGCAUGGUCUUAGCUUGCUAAGGCCGAUGGCGACCGGCGCACGGGUGAGUAACACGUAUCCAACCUGCCGUCUACUCUUGGACAGCCUUCUGAAAGGAAGAUUAAUACAAGAUGGCAUCAUGAGUCCGCAUGUUCACAUGAUUAAAGGUAUUCCGGUAGACGAUGGGGAUGCGUUCCAUUAGAUAGUAGGCGGGGUAACGGCCCACCUAGUCUUCGAUGGAUAGGGGUUCUGAGAGGAAGGUCCCCCACAUUGGAACUGAGACACGGUCCAAACUCCUACGGGAGGCAGCAGUGAGGAAUAUUGGUCAAUGGGCGAGAGCCUGAACCAGCCAAGUAGCGUGAAGGAUGACUGCCCUAUGGGUUGUAAACUUCUUUUAUAAAGGAAUAAAGUCGGGUAUGCAUACCCGUUUGCAUGUACUUUAUGAAUAAGGAUCGGCUAACUCCGUGCCAGCAGCCGCGGUAAUACGAGAUCCGAGCGUAUCGGAUUUAUUGGGUUUAAAGGGAGCGUAGAUGGAUGUUAAGUCAGUUGUGAAAGUUUGCGGCUCAACCGUAAAAUUGCAGUUGAUACUGGAUAUCUUGAGUGCAGUUGAGGCAGGCGGAAUUCGUGGUGUAGCGGUGAAAUGCUUAGAUAUCACGAAGAACUCCGAUUGCGAAGGCAGCCUGCUAAGCUGCAACUGACAUUGAGGCUCGAAAGUGUGGGUAUCAAACAGGAUUAGAUACCCUGGUAGUCCACACGGUAAACGAUGAAUACUCGCUGUUUGCGAUAUACAGCAAGCGGCCAAGCGAAAGCGUUAAGUAUUCCACCUGGGGAGUACGCCGGCAACGGUGAAACUCAAAGGAAUUGACGGGGGCCCGCACAAGCGGAGGAACAUGUGGUUUAAUUCGAUGAUACGCGAGGAACCUUACCCGGGCUUAAAUUGCAGAUGAAUUACGGUGAAAGCCGUAAGCCGCAAGGCAUCUGUGAAGGUGCUGCAUGGUUGUCGUCAGCUCGUGCCGUGAGGUGUCGGCUUAAGUGCCAUAACGAGCGCAACCCUUGUUGUCAGUUACUAACAGGUUCCGCUGAGGACUCUGACAAGACUGCCAUCGUAAGAUGUGAGGAAGGUGGGGAUGACGUCAAAUCAGCACGGCCCUUACGUCCGGGGCUACACACGUGUUACAAUGGGGGGUACAGAGGGCCGCUACCACGCGAGUGGAUGCCAAUCCCAAAAACCUCUCUCAGUUCGGACUGGAGUCUGCAACCCGACUCCACGAAGCUGGAUUCGCUAGUAAUCGCGCAUCAGCCACGGCGCGGUGAAUACGUUCCCGGGCCUUGCACACACCGCCCGUC